GCUUAGGUUCGGACCUAUGAGGUCACAUACAUUAGAGUUCACGAUCCGAUCGGAUGGUUGAUCAAUGAUUAAGAAUCGUUCUAGGGUUAAACGAUCAAUACGAUUGACAUUUAAUCUAGUGCAAGUGUUGCAGGAAGAUCGAUUAGCAAUUCGAUUGCUAAUUGGCUUAAUUUGAUUAAGCCAAUAGGCUGAGAUUAAAUCUAAUUGAAUAU
rnacentral:lncRNA from 1 species